rnacentral:rRNA from 1 species
GCCGCGGUCCUGCCAGUCACAAUGAGUGUACUAAGCUGGAACUGCCAGGGGCUUGGGAACCCCGAGGCAGUUCGGGAGCUUCGCAGUAUCGUGAAGCUGGAAGGCCCCUCCCUUCUCUUUGUAAUGGAAACUAAAAUCAAUGCCAAAAGAGUUGAGGAUCUAAAGUUUACGCUGGGUUUUGCAGGCAGUUUUGCAGUGGACAGUGUUGGCCUUAGUGGCGGCAUAGGUCUUUUCUGGUCCAGAGAUGUGACCGUGGAUUUGAAGAAUUUCAGUAAGAAUCAUAUUGAUGUACUGGUACAUAGAAAUAAUCAAAACGCUUAUGUUUGGCGUUUCACGGGUUUUUACGGAGCACCGCGAGCGGAAGAGCGA